UUUCACAACAAAUUGCUGAUUCUCAUCUCUCAUUUGUAAAAUCAUGGAUGGAAGCCCACAUAGAUGAUGCUGAAAAGCAUCUUGGAAUGCCAGUUGUUUUUGCUGAGUUUGGUGUAUCUUCCAAAGACCCUGGCUACAAUUCAUCAUACAGAGAUACACUCAUAAGUAGUGUGUACAAUACCAUCCUAAACUCCACAAAGAAAGGAGGGAGUGGGGCUGGAAGCCUUUUGUGGCAAUUUUUUCCUGAUGGAACUGAUAACAUGGAUGAUGGCUAUGCAAUUGUUCUCUCAAAAUCUCCCUCCACCUCAAACAUUAUACAGCUUCAAUCCACUAGGCUUGCGAUGUUCAAUUCCUUGUGCAAUACUAAAUGCAAUUGGGGAUGUAAGAAGAAAAAGUUUUUGAACAACAUACUCUAUCACGAUGAACUGUAACACCAUGUGUGGGAAAGUUUCCAAUUGUAAUGCUGUGGUCCUAUAAAACCAUGCAUGGAUAAAUAUGUGAUUCACCAUACCUUUUGUUAUGAACAAUGCUCUAAUUUGUAUGUUGUGGCAUUAUUGUCACGCAAGGUCACCACCAUAUUAAACUAGAAGACUACUACAACAUUAUAUAGCAAUUUCUAAAAUAAAUAAGUUAGCAUUAUACUAUAGGUGCUAAGUACACCGAUUGCCUUGUGGAAAACAAAGCAAAUUGUAGAUUGGAAUACAAUGAACAAUAGUUUCGUAUAAGAGCAAUGGUUGAUUGAAAGUGUCAAAUGAAAUUGAAUAAAUAAACCAUCCAAUCUUAAAUAUCAUGGAUAAGUAAAAAAGUCCUUACUUAUAAGAAAAAAAAGAAAUAGAUUGUCUCUUCCUCCAGUUCUAUAUUUUUUGUAAGCAUUGGCAUUAUAGGCCAUCUCCUUCUAAACUCUGAAUAUUUAACCCUCGAAGAAAAAUGAGAAAAUUGAGUUUUCUCAAGGUCCAGAGGGUCCUAGAGGCCUUUAGAAGUUGGGGGUAAAGUGUUCAAAGUGAGAAAAUUGAGUUUUGAUCUUACUGAUAGUGCCUGAGUGCCCAUUUCAAGAGGCGCCAGCGCUGAGCGCCAACCCUUGGGUGCUCGAGCAAUGCGGGACGCCACUGCACUUGUUUUUUGGGGGCUUUCAGGGUUUUGGAUAUCCGUUUUGGAAAUUUUUUAGCUUGUUUUGAACACUUCUAGAGCAAUUGGUAAAUGGUUUCAAAGUUGUUUUCCUUACCUAAGUAUGAGUUUAAAGGCGUUUUGUGUUGUUUAAUGAUUCUUCUUGGACUGUUCUUGUGUAUUAAUGAUGUAUAUAUAAAAUGUUUGUGUGAAGUAUGUGGAUGAUUGUGUGAAUGUUGUUAAUGAACAUAAUUCCAUGAUUCACCAUACCUUUUGUUAUGAACAAUGC
rnacentral:lncRNA from 1 species